UCUAUCACAUGGUGGGUCCUACUCUCUACUCACAAUACUGUAGGGCGUGUUUGAUAUGGGAGAUAAGGCGUGAAUAGGAUACUUAUAUGCCCUAAUCCAUUUGUUUGGUAUACCAUAUAAAUAAUCAAGAAAGCCCGAGAAAUAGGCGGCCCGCUGUUAAAACACUGUUCCUCUUUAGGAAUGUUAUCACACCCUCAUCCUCGCGACCUUGGGGAUCUGAUAGAAUUUGGAUUGAGGAAGGAGACUGGUGCAACCUUGUGGAUCUCACGGGAUUUGGACUGAGAUGGUGAUUGUCAGGUUGUAUCAGGAGGCAUAUUGGUUCGACGACGGCGACGCUGUUGUUGUUGCUCGGUGGAUGAAAAGGGGACCGCCACCUACCACUGUCGCGGCGACGACGACGAAAACAACGUGUGUUGUCGUUGUUUGCCUAAAUUUUAGAAGAGGAGCAGCGAUUUUGAGUGUAAUUAAUGAUUUAUGCAAGAAUUGAUUUUGUUGAAUUAAGAUGUUGGGCGGCAUUCUGUAGAAAAAUAAAAAUUGGGUGGUGCUAUGUGAAGACUAAAGAAUGGGAAAAAAAGAUUGAGUUAGGCGGUGGCUCUGCUCUUUGCAUGUGUGUGGUCUGUUGAAGUUCCGUUCAAGCAGAUUUUGGAGGCAUGGGGUCAUCUGUUUCAAGAAAUUGGGGGUAGUGUUGGGCGGCCGGCGGUGGAACUUUUUUGUGUAGUUGGGAAGUUGGGAUUAAAUAGAAAAAUGUUUAUUUUUGUAUUUCUUAAUUAAUUAAUUUUAAUUUAUAUAAGGUUAAAAUUGUAAUUUGCUCAUUUAUUAUAGUUGUAUCUUUUUUACCAAACAUGAAUAUUAAUUAUCUUAGUAUUA